rnacentral:rRNA from 1 species
GACAAACGCUGGCGGCGUGCCUAACACAUGCAAGUCGAGCGCGAAAGGGACCUUCGGGUCCCCUGAGAGCGGCGAACGGGUGAGUAACACGUGGGCAACCUGCCUCAAGGACUGGGAUAACGUCGGGAAACCGGCGCUAAUACCGGGCGAUGUCGUCUCGUAUAAGCGAGCCGACCAAAUGGUAGCUUCGGCCUCCGCCUUGAGAUGGGCCCGCGGCCUAUCAGCUUGUUGGUGAGGUAAUGGGUCACCAAGGCUACGACGGGUAGCUGGUCUGAGAGGAUGAUCAGCCACACUGGGACUGUGAUACGGCCCAGACUCCUACGGGAGGCAGCAGUGGGGAAUCUUGCGCAAUGGGCGAAAGCCUGACGCAGCAACGCCGCGUGAGCGAAGAAGGCCUUCGGGUUGUAAAGCUCUGUCAGGGGGAAAGAAGGCACCUGGGUUAAUAGCCCAAGGGCUGACGGUACCCCCAAAGGAAGCCACGGCUAACUACGUGCCAGCAGCCGCGGUAAUAC